GACGAAGCCGUGCGAACGUUUAUUCGGAAUCACUGGGCUUAAAGCGCGUGUAGGCGGAUGGGAACGUCGGCCACUGAAAGCCCCCCGGCUCAACCGGGGAAGCGGUGCCGGGACGGCCCGUCUGGAGGGGCGUAGGGGGGACCUGGAACUUCCGGUGGAGCGGUGAAAUGCGUUGAGAUCGGAAGGAACGCCCGUGGCGAAAGCGAGGUCCUGGACGUCAUCUGACGCUGAGACGGCGAAAAGCU
rnacentral:rRNA from 1 species